rnacentral:lncRNA from 1 species
CGGCUUGUCUAGAGAACUCGCCCGCCGCCACACACAAACGCAAUCGAACGCCACCAGAAAGAGAGGCGACCUGUGAGGGAGUAGAUGUGCCGCCGCGCGGACGAUUUCACCAGCGUCGUGGUCUCGAGCUUGGCAUGAGGGCGGACAUGUCACUUGGACCUCCUGCGACGGAUCAGGUCCAUCCCGUGUGGAGUCAUCGGCCAGGGCAAGACGGAAUCGCUCGUCGGGGCGAACCUGCCACCGUGUGGCCGCUGGUCACCAUGGGCGGGGUCUGUGCUGCAUGUGUACCGGUAGGACAUCCAUCCUCUAGUUCUUCUAUGUCUCAUUUAUGUAUAGCAGUCAUAGGAUCAGAGUUUCGGGCUUAGGUUCGAUGGGUGGCGAGGUCCGGCCAUGGCCUCCACCGUGGGCGCACCAUCUCCGCCGCUCUGGUGGUCGUGAGGUGGAAGGCCGCCCAGGGUCGUUGGAUCCUCGAUGAAGGGUGGAGGUGUGGCGAUAGUUUUGGCCGUUGGAUCAGGAUUGCGCGAUCGCGAUUAGCUAUAGGGCGACAUCUCGGCCAUAGUUCAUCCUGGUCGUGGAUCAGUCAGUGGACGGCUUCGAUUAAAUCGCCUGGUACCCCUUUGACUCAUUAAAUCAUAGCCAUAGAUUGUGAGAUAAACGGUGGAUCCGGUUUCAUUAACUCGGGGCCAACAGAUCUUGAUCCAAUGCUCCUGGUUACCUACCGAUUCAACUUCUAAUCUGGGCGCUUGAUGAGUGAUCUUGCGGCUCAGAUCGUCCAAUACCCCUUCGUCGUGCGCUUCUUUUAAAAGAGACCCUGAGAAAUUGACAAAACAACCCGCCGUCCGUGCCCUGUGUAAAGUAUUUAUAUCUGUGCCCUGGAAAUUCAUAAAACAGCCCCUGAACUCUGUGAUAUUAGUGGCUGCAGUCCUGAACUAGAUAAAAUAGGAUAAUUUCAUAUAGAAAAUAGUUUUUAGUAUAAAAGUAAUUCCAUAAAAUUAUUUAAUUCAUAACUAAUUCAUCUUAAUUCCUUUUUGACCCAUUCCAGUUUCAUUAGAUCUAUAAUAAUAUUAUCUAUCCUUUGGUAGCUUUAUUUCCCAAAGAAACCUAAAUAAGAAUUAUGUACUCAAUCUCUUUUGUACCCAACACUUAAAUCUUCGAAACAUAAUAACUUGAUGACCGUAACUCCGAUUUUAGUGAUUCUCGAGCCCAUGAUCUCGUAGCGACGAGUAGAUCAUUAUUAUGCAGUUUGUGCUUAUGUUUGGUGUGAUGUUAAUUUUGUCUAUACCAUGUUUGUUUGUAUUGCUACGACUAGCGUAAGGUCACGAGUCACCUGAAGAUCAUCCUGGUACCUGGAAUCUCA